AGAGUUUGAUCCUGGCUCAGAGUGAACGCUGGCGGCGUGCCUAAUACAUGCAAGUCGAACGAUGAAGCUUCUAGCUUGCUAGAAGUGGAUUAGUGGCGCACGGGUGAGUAACGCAUAGGUCAUGUGCCUCUUAGUUUGGGAUAGCCAUUGGAAACGAUGAUUAAUACCAGAUACUCCCUACGGGGGAAAGAUUUAUCGCUAAGAGAUCAGCCUAUGUCCUAUCAGCUUGUUGGUAAGGUAAUGGCUUACCAAGGCUAUGACGGGUAUCCGGCCUGAGAGGGUGAACGGACACACUGGAACUGAGACACGGUCCAGACUCCUACGGGAGGCAGCAGUAGGGAAUAUUGCUCAAUGGGGGAAACCCUGAAGCAGCAACGCCGCGUGGAGGAUGAAGGUUUUAGGAUUGUAAACUCCUUUUGUUAGAGAAGAUAAUGACGGUAUCUAACGAAUAAGCACCGGCUAACUCCGUGCCAGCAGCCGCGGUAAUACGGAGGGUGCAAGCGUUACUCGGAAUCACUGGGCGUAAAGAGCGCGUAGGCGGGAUAGUCAGUCAGGUGUGAAAUCCUAUGGCUUAACCAUAGAACUGCAUUUGAAACUACUAUUCUAGAGUGUGGGAGAGGUAGGUGGAAUUCUUGGUGUAGGGGUAAAAUCCGUAGAGAUCAAGAGGAAUACUCAUUGCGAAGGCGACCUGCUGGAACAUUACUGACGCUGAUUGCGCGAAAGCGUGGGGAGCAAACAGGAUUAGAUACCCUGGUAGUCCACGCCCUAAACGAUGGAUGCUAGUUGUUGGAGGGCUUAGUCUCUCCAGUAAUGCAGCUAACGCAUUAAGCAUCCCGCCUGGGGAGUACGGUCGCAAGAUUAAAACUCAAAGGAAUAGACGGGGACCCGCACAAGCGGUGGAGCAUGUGGUUUAAUUCGAAGAUACACGAAGAACCUUACCUAGGCUUGACAUUGAGAGAAUCCGCUAGAAAUAGUGGAGUGUCUAGCUUGCUAGACCUUGAAAACAGGUGCUGCACGGCUGUCGUCAGCUCGUGUCGUGAGAUGUUGGGUUAAGUCCCGCAACGAGCGCAACCCCCUUUCUUAGUUGCUAACAGGUCAUGCUGAGAACUCUAAGGAUACUGCCUCCGUAAGGAGGAGGAAGGUGGGGACGACGUCAAGUCAUCAUGGCCCUUACGCCUAGGGCUACACACGUGCUACAAUGGGGUGCACAAAGAGAAGCAAUACUGCGAAGUGGAGCCAAUCUUCAAAACGCCUCUCAGUUCGGAUUGUAGGCUGCAACUCGCCUGCAUGAAGCUGGAAUCGCUAGUAAUCGCAAAUCAGCCAUGUUGCGGUGAAUACGUUCCCGGGUCUUGUACUCACCGCCCGUCACACCAUGGGAGUUGUGUUUGCCUUAAGUCAGGAUGCUAAAUUGGCUACUGCCCACGGCACACACAGCGACUGGGGUGAAGUCGUAACAAGGUAACCGUAGGUGAACCUGCGGUUGGAUCACCU
rnacentral:rRNA from 5 species